rnacentral:rRNA from 1 species
GACGAACGCUGGCGGCGUGCCUAAUACAUGCAAGUAGAACGCACAGUUUAUACCGUAGCUUGCUACACCAUAGACUGUGAGUUGCGAACGGGUGAGUAACGCGUAGGUAACCUGCCUGGUAGCGGGGGAUAACUAUUGGAAACGAUAGCUAAUACCGCAUAAUAUUAAUUAUUGCAUGAUAAUUAAUUGAAAGGUGCAAUUGCACCACUACCAGAUGGACCUGCGUUGUAUUAGCUAGUAGGUGAGGUAACGGCUCACCUAGGCGACGAUACAUAGCCGACCUGGGAGGGUGAUCGGCCACACUGGGACUGAGACACGGCCCAGACUCCUACGGGAGGCAGCAGUAGGGGAUCUUCGGCAAUGGACGAAAGUCUGACCGAGCAACGCCGCGUGAGUGAAGGAGGUUUUCGGAUCGUAAAGCUCUGUUGUAAGGGAAGAACGGGUGUGAGAGUGGAAAGUUCACACUGUGACGGUAUCUUACCAGAAAGGGACGGCUAACUACGUG